AGCGGUGGCGACCGGACGUUUAAAAUCGCCCUCCACUCACGUGACGCACUCCGCGACCUCUCAUUGGCACGUUUGAACGAUACAGGCACCGCAGGGCAGUUUGGGGUUUGUAGUUAGCUCCCGAACGGCCGGCGGUGUUACUGAGAGGACCGCUCUUCACCUCACAUACUUAACCAGUUAUUAAUAGACUAAAUCUAUGUAAUCGCGGUCUGAAGGGUUGGAUAAGCUUUAAGGCCCCUUCCAACCCAAACAGCUCUGUGACUGACUGAAAGAAUACGCUUUGAAGCAGGCCUAUUGCAGAAUGAAAACCAGGAAAACGCCACUCUUCCACAUCUCUUCUGACAUCUAAUGCUGUCCAGCGCUUAGGGUUUUCUCUUAAUAUAUGUACGGCCUCAGAAAUUGCAGUCGAGUGAUGUAUUCUGUGCUGAGUAUUUGGUAUGGCGGAAUCACUGGAUUGGAAUUUAGCAGCUGAAUAAGAAUGGUUAACCAUGAUUUUUACAUAGAUACAAUAUUUUGUAACCCUUCCUCUGCUUGGCAUCUUAUAUGUUUUCUUCUCUAUUUUGGCAUCUUUCAUGGAGCCUUGCAAGCAGUACACAUGCAACUUCGGUACAUAGCAAGUAUCCUAUGCAUUGGCUAAUAUGCAUAGUAAAGGACUGGGACAAGCCACUAGGCUUAAUACGAACAUGCUCAUUUCUCACCUUUUCUCCCUCUCCAUCACCGCAGGAGCCCCUCCUGGCUAGAAAUGUCGGGGGAAGUGUCAGGCUCUGUUGUGUUUAAAACAGGCUGAUCGUCAUUGUUACAGAGUUUCUGUCUUUCAGCUUUUCAGCUCAGGGUUUUAUACCUGUUCUCUUUGUAUUUUUCAUGGGUCCUUGAAUUGCUAUUACUGAUGUUACAAUUUCAAUUCUACAUUUACCAUUCUUCUCCUGCUUUGCUCUAGCCUAUAGAAUUUCACUAAUAGCUCAACAGCAAUUCUUUUUCAGUAAGUUGAGCAAGGGUCCAUGGCUGUAUUAACAAAACUGGGCCAUGUGCAUUAUAAAGGAUAAUUUUCCACAAAGAAAAAUUAUGAUAGAAGAAUAAAAGUCAGGAGAUUUCAAGAGUGUAUUAUAAGACCAAAAAUCCACAAUCUUACACUUCUGAGAUGAGGCUCACACAUACCUCCUUUUGCUUAGUUCAGUCAAAAAAUGAAAGCAUCAGUAAGAAAAAGAAAACCAAGAUUAAAUUAGUAGGGAAAAGGGCAAAUAGGCUGUAAUGUAGGAAAAAAAAAUAUAAAGAAAACUAAAAUCAUACAGGAAAAAUUCAGUGUAUGCCUUUCAGUGGGGCAUCUACCACUCUUUGUAUGCUAUUUAUGAAAACAAAAUCCAAAAGUUAUAACUGCCUAUCUUUUCAGGAUCAGGUCUGAAAGAGCUAGAAGUGAUUCAAGUCAAUAAUUCUUUACUGAUGUCUGAAUUUCUUCUCCCAAACCAUUGUAAUAUUUCAAUUUUUCUAUAUUUAAUAUAUUACUAAUAAUGAAGAAUGAUAUGAUGUCCUUGGUAGCUCCAUUGGUUCCGGUGACACAGUUUUACUCACAUAACCACUGGAAGCAUGCAGCACAUACCCUUCGUUGAAAUGCACGCUGACGUACUGGUCUUGUAACAAGUUUACUUAAAAGAAAUGGAAAUUCAAUCAGUUUCUAUUAAAUGGUCACAGUGUCAAAGAAAUUAAAAUAGCUCUUUUUAGAAAUUAUAUUUAUGGAAAAGAGUUUUAAGACUGCUGAGAGUAUAAGUCAACAAGCUCAGGCUUAAUUUUCUGGAGUGUGAUACCCCAAGACUUAUUUAGAAAUUGCUAACUGUUGUAAUAAAACUGAAGGAACCAAUUUCAUUUAUAUAAAAAUAUAAAUGCUGUGUGAAGGAAAGGCAAAAGCGUUUAGAAAUGCACCAGAACUGUAAGUUCAGAUCUUUCUUAAGAGCAAUUAUAUGUGUCAACCAGCUUAAAAUAACAGUUAAAUGACAAAUAAGGUUUGGGGGUUUUUGUAUAUAGUUUAAAGAUGAUGCAAGAAGGUGUUCCCAUUUUGUUCUGGGAAAGAAGGGCUUUGGCCUCUUUCUCUAAACUACAAAUUUAAAUGUGUUGAUUCAAAAGCCCAACAAAUAAUUACUAGACCAUUGGAUUUAUUAUUCUAAACCCACUGUUAACCCAGCUAAUCAUGCAAUGCCCAAGGUUUGGGAGAACUUCUGCCAAUUAACUGGAGGUCAGGGAAGAGUAGGAUAUAUGUGACUGUUACUAACCCUAAAUGUCCAAAAUGUCUUCUUUUGUGAUUAUUGAGUAUGAUUGUAUUAUAAAAGUUAAGAUUAUUAAAGAAGGCAUGUACUUUUCCAUUAAAAUAUUAUAAUAUUAGGGCACAUUUAAGUGCUGGUGGCUUGAAAUUUCACUCCAGGCAAGUUAAACCAAAUUGUAGUUGUGAAAGGAACUAAGGUUUUACCCCAAAAUAGCCUGUGAUCUAAUAGAAAGUAGUUCUAAGUUACAGCUCAUCCUGCAUUUUUCAUCACCAGCACCCUCCAUCUGUGCAUUACUUGUGUUGCUAUGAAUUUGGCAACCCUUCAGCAGCGAGCUACUGUUUAUAAGAAGGGAUCCCAGCAGCUAAAAGAAGCCAGUCGUUGGGAUUACUCAUUACUUGCCUUUUGAGCUGCUCCAGGGAAUUUCUUGAAGAACUAUGUCAAAAUCAGCUUUAGAAAACCAGUAAUUUGAGAACUUCGAUUGACCAGACUAGUGUUGGUCAAGUUGGUGGGAUUGGAAGGAGGAUUCUUUUUGUUGGUACCGAGUGAAGAUUUUCCUCUUUUGUGCAAGGAAAAAAGAGCAUUAAAAAGGCCUUUUUUCUCUCUGCAAGAAGAAAUCUGACGCAUUGGGAACUCAAUUACCAAGACACCAUGAAUGCUUCCAGGAGGAUACAUUCUCUCCGUGCUCACAGACAGAAAACCAAUGGCAGCAAAAGUGAGAACUGGCACAGCACCUCUGGGUUCAAGGACCAGCAUGGAGAUGAUCUUGCUACAGUCCAUACCCUUUACACAGUGAUUGUCAUGAUCCUUCUAAUGGCAAUCUGGGGAGCCUGGUCAAGAAAGGAUUCAUCCUGAUAGCAGCAAUACACUUUCUUUGUCAAAUAUUUAAUGGAAUAUUUCUGUCAAUUACCCAUACCUGGGAGGUACAAAAAAAAAAUGGUCUCAGCAUAUUACAGUUUGCUUGAAACUGCUUAAAAUAUUGCUAUGUGUGAAACUGAAACUGUGAAGCAAUUUAGUUGUCAAUAUACAGAACAUGACUGUGAAUAACAUAACCUGUUUGCACAGUACACGUUUAUAUUACCCAUCGCAUGUAUAUGAAACUUACCUUAAGCACAAUAUGCUAGCAAGAAGAGUUCUGCUUAUGUUUUUGUUGGUCAGUGUUUUGUAGAGAAACCUCAGCUUUCCAUUUUUGAACUUCAGUUGUCAGUGUCUACCUCUGCUAAGGUUACCUGUUCGAAUCCAUCAUAAAACAUAUACUAUAAGCAAGCAAAUAAUCUGCCAUGUCACAACAUCAUAAGAAAACAAAUAAAUUAACAAAACCAGCUAUCCUGCAAGCAAAGGAAGACCUAUGAAGCAAUCAAAUUCUCAUCUCUGUUGCUGAAGAGUUUAUAUGGGACUUGCACCUGCAUAUUUUUAACCUGUGGUAAUGCCUUUGUAAACUCAGGAAUAAAAUAAUGAAAUAAA